GAUGAAGAACGUAGCGAAAUGCGAUAAGUAAUGUGAAUUGCAGAAUUCCGUGAAUCAUCGAAUCUUUGAACGCGCAUUGCGCCCCCUGGUAUUCCGGGGGGCAUGCCUGUCCGAGCGUCAUUGCAACCUUCAAGCGCGGCUUGUGUGUUGGGUCUCGUCCCCCGUGGACGGGCCCGAAAGGCAGUGGCGGCGUCCCGACAUGGUGCCCGAGCGUAUGGGAAUCCUCUUCCGCUCGAAUCGGCCCAUGCGGCGCUGGUCGUAACCAAAUUUUUUACCGGUUGACCUCGGAUCAGGUAGGGAUACCCGCUGAACUUAAGCAUAUCAAUAAGCGGAGGA
rnacentral:misc_RNA from 1 species